rnacentral:ncRNA from 1 species
CUGAUAGAGGUGCGGGACAGAUCAGUAGCGCUGCCAUUACAGUCUGCGGAGACCGGCUGCGUGAAAGGCUUACCGCCGAAGAAUGCAUAUUCCGUGAUGUGCAUGUCUGGCUGUGCGUCAAACAGGCGUCCGGUUGUCAUCGGUCUGAUGGAGAGCUAUCG